rnacentral:rRNA from 1 species
ACGCUGGCGGUGUGCUUAACACAUGCAAGUCGAACGGUAAGGCCCUUUCGGGGGUACACGAGUGGCGAACGGGUGAGUAACACGUGAGUAACCUGCCCUCAUCUCUGGGAUAACGGUCGGAAACGGUUGCUAAUACUGGAUAUGAGCUUGCAAGGCAUCUUGUGGGUUGGAAAGAUUUUUUUGGUUGGGGAUGGACUCGCGGCCUAUCAGCUUGUUGGUGAGGUAGUGGCUCACCAAGGCUUCGACGGGUAGCCGGCCUGAGAGGGCGACCGGCCACAUUGGGACUGAGAUACGGCCCAAACUCCUACGGGAGGCAGCAGUGGGGAAUAUUGCACAAUGGACGGAAGUCUGAUGCAGCAACGCCGCGUGCGGGAUGACGGCCUUCGGGUUGUAAACCGCUUUCAAUUGUGACGAAGCUUUUUGUGACGGUAGCAGUAGAAGAAGCACCGGCUAACUACGUGCCAGCAGCCGCGGUGAUACGUAGGGUGCGAGCGUUGUCCGGAUUUAUUGGGCGUAAAGAGCUUGUAGGCGGUUUGUCGCGUCGGGAGUGAAAACUUGGGGCUUAACCCUGAGCUUGCUUUCGAUACGGGCUGACUUGAGGGAGGUAGGGGAGAAUGGAAUUCCUGGUGGAGCGGUGGAAUGCGCAGAUAUCAGGAGGAACACCGGUGGCGAAGGCGGUUCUCUGGACCUUUCCUGACGCUGAGAAGCGAAAGCGUGGGGAGCGAACAGGCUUAGAUAACCUUGGUAGUCCACGCCGUAAACGGUGGGUACUAGGUGUGGGGGACAUUCCACGUUCUCCGUGCCGUAGCUAACGCAUUAAGUACCC